CUGAGAAUCUGUGAAGGCACGCAGUAGCGGGAGGAGGAGGGUAAGCUGAGAAUCUGUGAAGGCCCGCAGCAGUGGGAGGAAGGGGGUAAGCUGAGAAUCUGUGAAGGCCCGCAGCAGUGGGAGGAAGGGGGUAAGCUGAGAAUCUGUGAAGGCCCGCAGCAGUGGGAGGAAGGGGGUAAGCUGAGAAUCUGUGAAGGCCCGCAGCAGUGGGAGGAAGGGGGUCUGGAACAGGUUUUUUUCUUCUAGUUAGGUUAUCUUGAUCUCUGGCUCCCUCUUGAGUCAUUUGUGUAUCUGAAUUAUUUAAUCAAACACCGUGCUUAAAGCAUCAGACAAGUUCAAUACAUGUAGUUAAUUUUGUUAAAACACAUAGGGUGUGUCUAUAUGUGGAAAAUUGAUUGGUCGAAAGAGAAGACUACUCUUGGUCGACCAAGAUUCUCUUAGAAAUGCAAUUCAAUAUUAGGAUGGUGUUCUUAAUGUUUUGUACAAUAUAACUCAAUAUUAGGAAGGUGUUCUUAAUGUUUUGUGCAAUUCAGCUCAAUAUUAGGAAGGUGUUCUUAAUGUUUUGUACAAUGCAGCUCAAUAUUAGGAAGGUGUUCUUAAUGUUUUGUACAAUGCAGCUCGAAUAUUAGGAAGGUGUUCUUAAUGUUUUGUACAUCCACCAACAGCCACCAACACAAGACCUCCUUCGUACACAGAAGAGGACUGGAUGGUGAAAAAUGAAAGAUGAGGAACGUCUAGCUCUAGAUCCAGGUGGAUGAUCUAGUUGAAGAACGUCUAGCUCUAUAUCCAGGUGGAUGAUCUAGUUGAGGAACGUCUAGCUCUAUAUCCAGGUGGGUGAUCUAGUUGAGAAACGUCUAGCUCUAUAUCCAGGUGGAUGAUCUAGUUGAUGAACGUCUAGCUCUAUAUCCAGGUGGAUGAUCUAGUUGAGGAACGUCUAGCUCUAUAUCCAGGUGGGUGAUCUAGUUGAGAAACGUCUAGCUCUAUAUCCAGGUGGAUGAUCUAGUUGAUGAACGUCUAGCUCUAUAUCCAGGUGGAUGAUCUAGUUGAGGAACGUCUAGCUCUAUAGCUAGGUGGAUGAUCUAGUUGGGGAACGUCUAGCUCUAUAUACACGGUGGAUGAUCUAGUUGAUGACGUCUAGCUCUAUAUCAGCUAGGGGUUGUGACGAGAGAGAGGAGAGAGGAGGGAGGCUGUUGAGGAUGAGAACAUCUUACAACAUGAUAUGACAGGAGCUUGGGGUUGGGUUACUGAUCUGGAACAACUCUGCCCCCUAGUGGUCUUCAUCCAAUACUACUACUGAAACCUCAGAACAGUCACCCAGCCUGGUUGGAUAAUACUACUACUGAAACCUCAGAACAGUCACCCAGCCUGGUUG
rnacentral:lncRNA from 1 species